rnacentral:piRNA from 1 species
UAAUAAAGAAUCACAAAUGAGUACACGGU